GACGUAGGGCGCGAGCGUUGUCCGGAUUUAUUGGGCGUAAAGAGCUCGUAGGCGGCUUGUCGCGUCGACUGUGAAAUCCCGCGGCUCAACCGCGGGUCUGCAGUCGAUACGGGCAGGCUAGAGUUCGGUAGGGGAGACUGGAAUUCCUGGUGUAGCGGUGAAAUGCGCAGAUAUCAGGAGGAACACCGAUGGCGAAGGCAGGUCUCUGGGCCGAUACUGACGCUGAGGAGCGAAAGCGUGAGGAGCGAACAGG
rnacentral:rRNA from 1 species